AUAGCCUCGAUUCUCCUGUUUCUCUGGCUCUGGCAGCAAAACAAGUCCGGGCAAAUUCAGCCUUUCCUCAGCUUUUAAAGGAUGCUCACUAGAUAUACAAGUUUCACUAACUUAAUAUUUUUCUGUUACGUGAAGACAGGCUUUUUUGUGCAUGGGCUUCAGCAGUGGCUUCCUUCGUGGACGACAGCCAUUCAUGUCAAGUCACAUUUAUCGUCUCAGGAAGAAGAGGCGUUGGUGUGCCUUCUUCAGCACUGCGUCGGUGUGUAUGGACCAGAACCUGCACAUGUUGGAGAACCGGUUAGAGAAAGCACAGCUGAAAUGUCAGGAGGCUGAACACAUCAUAAGGAACUACCAAGCACUAAAGGAGCACUUGCAGAUAACACACACACACACACACACACACACACACACACACACACACACACACACACACACACACACACACACACACACACACACACACAAACACGCAAACUGAAGUACCCUGUGUAUUACUCAUCAUUUUAAUUUCUACUGCAUCCUUACAGUCACAUGAAAACACAAUUUUUUUAGCCCUUUUGCAACUUAACCCUUAACCAUCCCCAGAAUCUGUGGAGGUGAGCUGGAGACCUUUGCUGUAUUUACCUUUACUGUAUUUACAAGCCAUUCUUGUGUUUUCCAAAUUGUUAACUAUGCUGUUGUUAUCAUUUAAUUUAACAAACACACUUUCUGUCUGCUGCAGUAUUUAUUUACUGUGUUAAUGGAAGAAGGAGGUCAAGGCCUGGUGGACAUUAAGAGUCAUAUGCGAGCAGCUCAAAGACUGCUGUACCUUAAAGGUCAUAAAGACUUGGACACAAAGAGCAGGUUUAAUUCUGCAACAAGCAGAUUGGACUGGACACUUAUUUUUACUUAAAGGUGAUAAGAUCAGUCUCUGAUGAGUCUGUGUGAGAUUACACUAUUUUAUAAGUCAGUGCGACAAGCCUAGAGAAUCAUUUUAAAAAGAAAAGGACUGUGAAGCGAGGGAACUGGACUUCUGAUAAACCCUUCAUUGUUAACCUCAUGAUUCAAACCGGACUUUAAUCACACCAUGUUCAGAUAUUUAGCCUGUAGGCCUGUUUUUUUAACUGUUAAUGACUUUGUAAAUGCUCUUUUCUUCUGCUUGCCUAAUGAAAGACCCUUUUACUGCUGCGUUAUGAAAUCUUUCAGUGAUCGAUCUGGGGGAGCUGCUCUACCUUCUCUGUAUUUCUACCUUCACAUCCUUCUGGUAUCUUGUAGAUUCUCAUGUUAUUACA